AUUGAACGCUGGCGGCAGGCCUAACACAUGCAAGUCGAACGGUAGCACAGAGGAGCUUGCUCCUUGGGUGACGAGUGGCGGACGGGUGAGUAAUGUCUGGGAAACUGCCCGAUGGAGGGGGAUAACUACUGGAAACGGUAGCUAAUACCGCAUAACGUCUUCGGACCAAAGUGGGGGACCUUCGGGCCUCACACCAUCGGAUGUGCCCAGAUGGGAUUAGCUAGUAGGUGGGGUAAUGGCUCACCUAGGCGACGAUCCCUAGCUGGUCUGAGAGGAUGACCAGCCACACUGGAACUGAGACACGGUCCAGACUCCUACGGGAGGCAGCAGUGGGGAAUAUUGCACAAGGGGCGCAAGCCUGAUGCAGCCAUGCCGCGUGUAUGAAGAAGGCCUUCGGGUUGUAAAGUACUUUCAGCGGGGAGGAAGGCGUUAAGGUUAAUAACCUUGGCGAUUGACGUUACCCGCAGAAGAAGCACCGGCUAACUCCGUGCCAGCCGCCGCGGUAA
rnacentral:rRNA from 1 species